ACAUUAGUAAAUUUCUUUGAUUAAACUUAACAUGGAUACAUUCUCAAUCAAAGAAAAAAGAAUGUACCCAUAUAAGUUUAAAAAUGGAUUACAAAAAAAAUUGAAUAGAUUUUAUAUAAAAAAAAUGGUACAUUUUACAUAUAACAAAUUGGUAUAUUUAAGAAUGAGUACAUUUUAAGAUUAAAAAUUUGAAAAAAUUACAUGAAUGGGUACAUAUAAUUCGCAUGGGUACAUUUAGCAAAAAUAAAUAUGGGUACAAAUAAAUAAAAAAAUGUGGGUACAAAUACGAAUAAAACUUUAAAAAAUAUGGGCACAAAAAGAAAUUAAUAUAUGGGAAAAAAUUAAAAUUGAACGAAAUUGGUACAAAUUAAAAUUGGGUUGCAAAUUAAAAAUGGGUACAAACUAAAAAUAAAAAUAUAUGAUAAAAAAUUUAGCCAUAAAUAUAAAGGAAAACUAACGAAAAGUAAAAAAAAAAUUCCCUUUUAAUGAAAAGCCCUUUUUAAAUGUCACAGCCCGUUCCAAAAUUUUGUAACAUUAAUUGGUCUCGAACGAGGAAGUUACUAAAUCACCCUUGGACAUUAAGGUGUGUUGUGUGUAUUAUGUACUUAAGUUGCACAAUUCUAAUAUUUCCUAAUUUUUUGGAGACUUAGGCUUGUUACUUUGUUUUGUGGGUUAGUAACCAACUAGAACCACACACACACCUAUCCAUUUCCCUGUGUACUCUCUCUCUCUCCUCCCUCUCUCAAUUUUCUGCAACGUCUGUACAAGCGUACUGACAAUUCUUGAACCACUCCAUUUAGGCAGGGAUUGAGGCUAAAGUUAGUGUCUUUGAGUUCUUGGCAAGCUAAGGAUCACAACCAUACCUUUUUUUAGACGUAAAACCCUCGUUUUCUCGAGAACCCAAAUUCGAGGUACUGUUCAUGCACAAGUAAAUGUGAAGUUUUCAGAAGAUUUUAAGCCUCUAGGAAGCUUUAGAACGUCUUCACAAAGCUCGGAAAAGAAAAACGAGGUGUUUUGGACGUUGAGAAGUCGAGUUUGGUCGGAAUUAUCGUGCUUUCUUCGGAGAGAUCUCGUGAUCUUUGGAGCUUGAAAUUGGUAAGAUUGUGUUCUAUUCAUCCUAAACAUCAAUUUGGUUCAAGUUUUAUGGAAUUUGGUUGAAAAAUGGAAGAGAAAUGAAGGUUUAAACAUUUUCCAGUUUUCCGACGACGGCGACGACCGGCGAGGUUCACUGGAGAAGAAAAAAGAAUAUUCAGUCAAAGUUGACGGAAUAUUUUUAAUGGAGGGUAACAGUGUUAGGUAAUUUGGACAAAA
rnacentral:lncRNA from 1 species